GAAACAGUUGCUAAGACUGGAUAGGAAAUUAAGAGGCAUCUUUUAAUUUUUAAAAGACCUUUUUCGAAAGGUAUGCUUAAAGAGGGGCUUGCGCCACAUUAGUUAGUUGGUAAGGUAAAGGCUUACCAAGACGAUGAUGUGUAGCUGGACUGAGAGGUCGAACAGCCACAUUGGGACUGAGACACGGCCCAAACUCCUACGGGAGGCAGCAGUAAGGAAUUUUUGGCAAUGGAGGAAACUCUGACCGAGCGACGCCGCGUGAACAAUGAAGUACUUCGGUAUGUAAAGUUCUUUUAUUGAAAAAGAAAAAAUAGUGGAAAAACUAUCUUGACAUUAUUCAAUGAAUAAGCCCCGGCUAAUUAUGUGCCAGCAGCCGCGGUAAUACAUAAGGGGCGAGCGUUAUCCGGGAAUUAUUGGGCGUAAAGGGUGCGUAGGCGGUUUGAUAAGUCUAUAGUUUAAAUGCAGUGCUUAACGCUGUAGCGCUAUAGAAACUGUCUGACUAGAGUUAGAUAGAGGCAAGCGGAAUUCCAUGUGUAGCGGUAAAAUGCGUAAAUAUAUGGAGGAACACCAGAGGCGUAGGCGGCUUGCUGGGUCUUAACUGACGCUGAGGCACGAAAGCGUGGGGAGCAAACAGGAUUAGAUACCCUGGUAGUCCACGCCGUAAACGAUGAGUACUAAGUGUCGGGUUUCGGCUCGGUACUGAAGUUAACACAUUAAGUACUCCGCCUGAGUAGUACGUACGCAAGUAUGAAACUUAAAGGAAUUGACGGGACCCCGCACAAGCGGUGGAUCAUGUUGUUUAAUUCGAAGAUACACGAAAAAACCUUACCAGGUCUUGACAUAAUUUUGCGACAUUAUAGAAAUAUAAUGAAGGUUAUCAGAAUUACAGGUGGUGCAUGGGUUGUCGUCAGCUCGUGUCGUGAGAUGUUAGGUUAAGUCCUAAAAACGAGCGCAACCCUUGUCGUUAGUUGCGACCACGUAAUGGUGAGCACUUUAGCGAGACUGCCAAUGAAAAAUUGGAGGAAGGUGAGGAUUACGUCAAAUCAUCAUGCCCCUUAUGAUAUGGGCUACAAACGUGAUACAAUGGCUGUUACAAAGAGUAGCUACAACGUGAGUUUUUAGCCAAUCUCAAAAAAACAGUCUCAGUUCGGAUUGAAGUCUGCAACUCGACUUCAUGAAGUUGGAAUCGCUAGUAAUCGCGAAUCAGCAUGUCGCGGUGAAUACGUUCUCGGGGUUUGU
rnacentral:rRNA from 1 species